rnacentral:rRNA from 1 species
UCGAGGGGCAGCGGGGAGUAGCAAUACUUCGCCGGCGACCGGCGCACGGGUGAGUAACACGUGUGCAACCAACCCCGUACCGGGAGAUAACCCGCGGAAACGUGGACUAACAUCCCAUGACACUCGAGAGCCGCAUGGCUCUAGAUUUAAAAUUCCGGUGGUACGGGACGGGCACGCGCGACAUUAGGUAGUUGGCGGGGUAACGGCCCACCAAGCCGACGAUGUCUAGGGGUUCUGAGAGGAAGGUCCCCCACACUGGAACUGAGACACGGUCCAGACUCCUACGGGAGGCAGCAGUGAGGAAUAUUGGUCAAUGGGCGAGAGCCUGAACCAGCCAAGUCGCGUGAGGGAAGAAUGGUCUAUGGCCUGUAAACCUCUUUUGUCAGGGAAGAAUAAGGAUGACGAGUCAUUCGAUGCCAGUACUUGACGAAUAAGCAUCGGCUAACUCCGUGCCAGCAGCCGCGGUAAUACGGGGGAUGCGAGCGUUAUCCGGAUUUAUUGGGUUUAAAGGGCGCGUAGGCGGGACGUCAAGUCAGCGGUAAAAGACUGCAGCUAAACUGUAGCACGCCGUUGAAACUGGCGCCCUGGAGACGAGACGAGGGAGGCGGAACAAGUGAAGUAGCGG